ACGCUCGACACCUACGGGAGGCAGCAGUGGGGAAUAUUGCGCAAUGGGGGAAACCCUGAUGCAGCGACGCCGCGUGAAGGAAGAAGUAUUUCGGUAUGUAAACUUCUAUCAGCAGGGAAGAAAAUGACGGUACCUGACUAAGAAGCCCCGGCUAACUACGUGUCAGCAGCCGCGGUAAUCUGAGCGGGCUGGCAAGGC
rnacentral:rRNA from 1 species